AAAACUUUGUUGUGUGUCGCCUAGAAGGAAGAAAUUGGGAUAAAAAGCUUGGUGUUUCAACUACGGAUAAACAUCAAUCAAGUCAAGAUUUUGCUUCUAGUUCUAGCAUCAAUGUUGUAGAAGAUAUUUCUCUAGAAUCUGCUCAACCACCAGAUCGAUAUUUGGUUUCUAAAACAAAUCAAGUUGUAGAAAAUAUAUUCUUGAAGACUCAGCUACCACCGAGUGAGAAUUUGUUUUCUUGUAAUGAAGACUCAGCUACUACUAGUUUGGAUUCGGGAUUAUCACCACGUGUCUGUUUAAUUCCUUAUUCUGGAAAUCAUGUUGCAGAAAAUACUUCUACAGGAUUGCAGCUAGUACCACAUGACGUUUUGGAGUCACUGAGACUACCAGAUGAGAAAUGGGCUACUUAUUCUGUUGAUGUUGUAGAAAAUUCUUUCGAGGCAGAACCUCGAAUUCCUGUAGAAUUCAAUACACAUGGUGGCUUUAAUGGGCUGAAUAAUGACUCUUUCCUGGCAUUGCAGUCACCAACUUAUCUGGAGCAGGAAUCGUCGUAUUCUAAUGGUCCUAGUUUUGGUUGUGAUUUAUUGAAUUAUCAAAUUGACAGUGGACAGGUAGUUACUUUCUCUGAGUCGCAGCAACUACCAAACCACUUGAUUUCUUGUUUUGGAAAUCAUGUUGCAGAAAAUACUUAUACUGGAUUGCAGCUAGUACCACAUAACGUUUUGGAGUCAUUGAGACUACCAGAUGAGCAAUGGGCUACUUAUUCUGUUGAUGUUGUAGAAAAUUCUUUCGAGGUAGAACCUCGAAUUCCUGCAGAAUUCAAUACACAUGGUGGCUUUAAUGGACUGAAUAAUGACUCUUUCCUGGCAUUGCAGUCACCAACUUAUCUGGAACAGGAAUCGUCAUAUUCUAAUGGUCCUAGUUUUGGUUGUGAUUUAUUGAAUUCUCAAAUUGACAGUGGACAGGUAAUUGCUUUCUCUGAGUCGCAGCAGCUACCAAACCACUUGAUUUCUUGUUUUCGAAAUCAUGUUGCAGAAAAUACUUAUACAGGAUUGCAGCUAGUACCACACGACGUUUUGGAGUCACUGAGACUACCAGAUGAGCAAUGGGCUACUUAUUCUGUUGAUGUUGUAGAAAAUUCUUUCGAGGCAGAACCUCGAAUUCCUGCAGAAUUCAAUACACAUGGUGGCUUUAAUGGACUGAAUAAUGACUCUUUCCUGGCAUUGCAGUCAUCAACUUAUCUGGAACAGGAAUUGUCAUAUUCUAAUGGUCCUAGUUUUGGUUGUGAUUUAUUGAAUUCUCAAAUUGACAGUGGACGGGUAAUUGCUUUCUCUGAGUCGCAGCAACUACCAAACCACUUGAUUUCUUGUUCUGGAAAUUAUGUUGCAGAAAAUUCUUCUACAGGAUUGCAGCAAGUACCACAUGGCAUUUUGGAGUCACAGAUAUUACCAAAUCAGUAUUGGGCUGCUUAUUCAACUAAUGCUAUUGGAAAUUCUUUCGAGGCAGAACCUCAACUAGUUGCAGAGGUCAAUACACAAGGUGGCUAUAAUGGGUUGAAUAAUGCUUCUUUGUCGGCACUGCAGUCACCAAUUUACCCUGAAGAGGAAUGAUCGCAUUCUAAUUGUCCUAGUUAUGGCUGUGAUUUUUUGAAUUCUCAAUUUGACGGUGAGCAGGUAGAUGAGCUGAUCAAAUGACGAAGGGCUUUUCAGAAUGAACACUCUCGUGAAGAAACUGGACAAACCACUCCUGACUUCAAUUCAUCAAAGUUGGAUGGAGGAGCUUACGAGGUAGAUAGCAGUGACAUAGACACUGAAACCGUCAAUGCAUGAUACUCUUUGGUUCUGUUAGUAACUAUCAAAUCCUCUAGGUGGAUAUUAUAUUACUUUAAUAGUUUCGUAAUAAUGUUUCACUCUUGGUUUGUUGUACUCCAAACUUUGCAACCAUGGUUACAUACUUUGUAAGUCGAUUAUUUAGAGCACUUGGAUGUUCAAGUUGCUCUCUCUAUGUGCAACAGUAUGGCCAAGCUGUGGAAAAGUUCAGCUUGUUAAAUGGGAAUGCUUAUUCAAAACAAUAGAGGUGAGUGAUGCAUGACAGGCCUUAUGGAAGAUCAUCCACUGAUGAUUUUUGCGGCUAGCAAGAGGAGAUGCUAAGCAUACUAUUGUCUGAAGGAGAGCCCCAAUGCUGAGUUUGCCUUAGACCAGAAAAGUGCUCUGGAACUUCCAUUGUCAUUAUGUAUUUGUAAGUUUUGUGUUUGGUGUAUUUCUUUAAUGAUUGUAUCUAGCUGGAAAAUUGAUGUUAUCAUCAUGUCAUGAUACAGAAGGAUUGUUGAAAAUAUAAAGCAUAUGUCAAUGGGUGGAGAUGAUCUGUAACCUGAUACAUGAGAUAAUGCAAAUUACCAAAAAUCUAAAAGCUUUUCAAUUUGAGUGU
rnacentral:lncRNA from 1 species